GCUGGCGGCGUGCUUAAUACAUGCAAGUCGAACGCUCUCGACCUUCGGGUCACUGAGAGAGUGGCGAACGGGUGCGUAACACGUGAGAAACCUACCCCGAAGACGGGAAUAGCCCGAGGAAACUCGGAUUAAUACCCGAUAUCUCCACACUGUCGCAUGACAGAGUGAAGAAAGUUCCGGCGCUUCGGGAGGGUCUCGCGGCCUAUCAGCUUGUUGGUGAGGUAACGGCUCACCAAGGCAUCGACGGGUAGCUGGUCUGAGAGGACGAUCAGCCACACUGGGACUGAGACACGGCCCAGACUCCUACGGGAGGCAGCAGUAGGGAAUCUUGCGCAAUGGGCGAAAGCCUGACGCAGCAACGCCGCGUGGGGGAUGAAUGCCUUCGGGUUGUAAACCCCUUUCAGCAGGGACGAAAUUGACGGUACCUGCAGAAGAAGGUCCGGCCAACUACGUGCCAGCAGCCGCGGUAAUACGUAGGGACCGAGCGUUGUCCGGAAUUAUUGGGCGUAAAGAGCUCGUAGGCGGUUCAGUAAGUCGGGUGUGAAAACUCAAGGCUCAACCUUGAGACGCCACUCGAUACUGCUGUGACUUGAGUCCGGUAGAGGAGUGUGGAAUUCCUGGUGUAGCGGUGAAAUGCGCAGAUAUCAGGAGGAACACCAACAGCGAAGGCAGCACUCUGGGCCGGCACUGACGCUGAGGAGCGAAAGCAUGGGGAGCAAACAGGAUUAGAUACCCUGGUAGUCCAUGCCGUAAACGUUGGGCACUAGGUAUGGGACCAUAUCAACGGGUUCCGUGCCGUAGCUAACGCAUUAAGUGCCCCGCCUGGGGAGUACGG
rnacentral:rRNA from 1 species